UUUUUGUUUUUCUAAAAAGAAGAGAGAGGAGUACUGCUACUAUAUUUCUACUUCUUAUUAACCCCCUCCUCCUCCUCCUCUUCUCUUUCUCUUUCUCUUUCUCUUUCUCUUCUGUGCAGCAAUUACAGCUGAUGAAUAAUAGAAGAAAAAAAAAGAUGGUGAAUUCUGAGAGGUUUUUAUGAAGAUGGGGGAUGUGGUGAAUUUAUUAAUUUAUUUCGGUGAUAAAUUUAUUAAUUAAUUUAUCAAUCUCACACCUCUUAAAAUACAAGAAAUUCAUAAAUAAAAAGGGUAGACCCAGAAAUAUUUAUAUUAAAAAAACAACCUUUUGCUUCUUUUAGCUACGGAAUCUUCAGAUUUCUCUUCUAUUAUUGUCAUGAAAUGGUUUUUCCUUUCAAGAAAACUAGAAGGGUCACUUUGGUUUCACUCAUGGUAACAAACUUUAAAUAAUUGUGUGAUAUUCAAAAUGGUUUACGUAUAUGUAUAUGUAGGUAUAGAUAAACUAAAAAAGAAGGGUGUAUUAUAUAUAUAUAAUGGAAGAUAGAUGAGUAGAAAGAAGAAGAGAAGCUAGCUACAGC
rnacentral:lncRNA from 1 species